rnacentral:lncRNA from 1 species
UUCAAGGAAUUGGCUUACACAAUUGUGUGGGUUGGCAAGUUGGAAAUCUGUAGAGCAGGCUGGAAACUUGUGCAGGAGCUGAAGCUGCAGCCCACAGGCAAUAUUGCUGCUUCUUCAGAGAGAUUCAGUUUUUAUCUUAAAGCCUUUAGACAAUGACUACUUGCUGACAGCAUUCUCCUUCAGCAUCCAAGCUGUCUGGCCUUGAGUAAGACAUAGCUCCUCUGUGUCUCAGUCUCCUCCUGUGAUAAAAGAGGACAUAACACCCAGCUUCACGGCAUCUGACUCGUGCCAUCUUGCAGGGCCCACACUGCAAAGCUGCAAAGUGCCAUGUGCUUGGUUCAAUGCUCUUCUGUUGCCAUCUUGAAAUUCUUAAUAAUUUGAACAAGGGGUCCAACAUUUUCCUUUUUUCACUGGGCCCCACAAAUUGCAUAACUACUGUUUCCAUCAGGAUGGGCUAGAGUGUGCUGCAAUGACAACAAAGUUCUUAGAGUUCUGUGACUUAGCCCGGUAAAGGUUUAUUUCUCACUCACAAAAAGUCUAAGACCGCAGGCUGUCUCCUCCCUCCAUAGCCUCUAGGUAGGAUCUUUUCUUGCCUCAUCUGGUUUCUGGUGGCCCCAGCUGUUCCUUGACUUUCAGCAUCAUGCCAAUCUCUGCCUCCGUCUUCACACAACCUUCUCUCCUCUGUAUCUAUCUGUGUCCAGAUUUUUCUCUUCAUAUAACGACAUCAGUCACAGUAGAUUUAGAGCCCACCCUAAUGUCCUCAUUUUGACUUGAUGAUAUCUGCGAAGACUAUUUCCAAAUAAGGCCACACUCACAGGUGUGAGGAAUUAGGAUUUCAACAUAGCUUUUAAGGAGACACACACAUAUAGCCUACAAGGUCACCACAGCAGGACAGGAAAGAGCUCAGGGAAAACACAGGAUGUUUUAAGGGCCAAGCGUGGAAGUGACUUCCACCACUUUUGCCUCUCUCCUAUUGGCCAGAACUUGGUCAGUUGGUCUCGGUCUAAUGCGAGAGAAGGGGAGUGCAGAGGAGCAUGUGAAGUCUAGUGAGUAUCCACAGUGUUCUCUGUGACUUCCAUGUUCAGGAGGCUUCAGCUUUGUCCCUCAGGCAACAGGAUGCCAAAAGUGUGGGGAGGGAGAGGGGAGGAGCGGGUAAAGUGAGCAGCAUUCGGUUGUGGCCGAUGGGUUAGACAGGAGCAGUCCAGGAGAUCAGAUGGGUGAAGACGCCAUCGAAGUGACACAGAGGGAGGGUGAUGAAGACCUGCAACAGGGCUGGAUUAGUGAGAAGAGAGCAGGUGAAAUCGCUUUUGGAUUAGUGAGAAGAGAGUGGGUGCAAUCGCUUUUGGAUUAGUGAGAAGAGAGCAGGUGAAAUCACUUUCGGAUCAGUGAGAAAAGAGCGGGUGAAAUCGCUUUUGGAUUAGUGAGAAGAGAGCGGGUGAAAUCGCUUUUGGAUUAGUGAAAAGAGAGCAGGCGAAAUCACUUUUGGAUCAGUGAGAAAAGAGCAGGUGAAAUCGCUUUUGGAUUAGUUAGAAGAGAGAGGGUGAAAUCACUUUGAGGAAAUUUUCAGAGAACCAGACAAAGAGAAAAGAGAAGGAAUCAUUUAUCUGUCUUAACAAUCCAUUCACAUCAAAAUAUUAGAGUUUGAGCUGAAGGAAUGCAUUCAGCUUUGGAGAAACUCUUCCAAAUAGUUCGCAAAGUUUCGCAAACGUCCAAAACCAGAUCAUUUUGCUAAAAUUAUCUAUAUAGUAGACACCACUGAAGUAAGUGCAGAGUUGCACAUAAUGAAACCUGGAGAGGAGAUGAAGGGGCAAAGUCAAACCAGAAAUCUCUUUGAGGACUUUCCUUCUUUUGCAAGGGGAUCACAGAGAAAAGAACACGUUUUGGAAAAAUACCCUGGAGGUUUCAUGUUUCCACUUUGAUGCCACUUCUGCAAGAUGAUGCCAAAAGUUCAGCACUACUCCUAGGGGAGUAAAAGGAACAAGCACCAGGGAUGACCACGUCCACAUCAGAUGUGAGCUAGAGGGGGCGGCUUCCCACGGACACGUUUGAGUUCUGUGUUCUCAGGGAUAACUUCCCCCAGGACGCCCAUGCCCUGCAAGACAAACAGCUCUCCAGGAGGAGGGUGUCCUGCCUUUCAUGCACCCUGGCCACGUCCCUUCCUGGGGAACAUGUGCAUUGAAGGAAUCUUUUGGCUUCCCUGGGCCACAUUGGAAGAAAAAGAACUGUCUUGGGUCACACAUAAAAUACACUAACACGGCUGGGCCUGGUGGCUCACAUCUGUAGUCCCAACACUUUGAGAGGCCCAGGCAGGUGGAUCACCUGAGGUCAGGAGUUUGAGACCAGCCAGGCCAACAUGGUGAAACCCCGUCUCUACGAAAAACACAAAAAUUAGCCGGGCAUGGCAACAUGUGCCUGCAAUCCCAGCUCCUUGGGAGGCUGAGGCAGGAAAAUCGCUUGAACCUGGGAGGCAGAGGUUGCAGCAAGCCGAGAUCAGGCCCUGCACUUCAGCCUGGGCAAGAAAGUGAGACUUUGCCUCAAAAAAAACAAAAACAAAAACAAACAAACAACAACAACAAAAAAAACACUAACAGUAACAAUAGCUGAUGAGCUUUAAAAAAAAAAAUCGCAAGAAAGCCCCAUAAUGUUUUAAAAAAGCUUACAAAUUUGUGUUGGGCCACGUUCAAAGCCAUCCUGGGCAUCAUGCAGACAGCAGGCCACAGGCUGGACAAGCUUCAUGUACAUGUAUUUGCUUCCCAUUCUAUUAUGUGUUCAAAAGGAAUCAACCUGUACUUUAUUCCUAUAAGGAGUUUUGAAACACAAGGCUGAAAGGGAUCGAUUUGUUCAAGAGGAGUCCCCUAGCCCCCUGAAGGGAGGCAAGGCUGAGGAUCCCUUCCAGGUAGAAAGCUUUCCAGGCAAUAGGCAGGACAUGGUUGUGCCGCAGAGGCCUGAGGGCUCUGUUUGUGUGGCAGGGAAUUCAGCUCUGCACGUAGUGGGUUCACGCUGGGAUGCACAUUCUUUGUCGCUCAGUCGAGCUGUAACCCAGAAAGUUAGCAUUUGCUUCAGUGUGACACGGACCAUAUGACAACCAUUCCUUCUCUUUUCCUGCUGCUGCAUGGAGGAACUGCAGCAGGCUGACCUCCACUUAGGGAGACAAGCGC